UGAGUAACCUGCCCUUAACUCUGGGAUAAGCCUGGGAAACUGGGUCUAAUACCGGAUAUGACUCCUCAUCGCAUGGGUGGGGGGUGGAAAGCUUUAUUGUGGUUUUGGAUGGACUCGCGGCCUAUCAGCUUGUUGGUGAGGUAAUGGCUCACCAAGGCGACGACGGGUAGCCGGCCUGAGAGGGUGACCGGCCACACUGGGACUGAGACACGGCCCAGACCUCCGUACGGGAGCAG
rnacentral:rRNA from 1 species